ensembl:lncRNA
CUUAGACAAGGUCACCCAGGUAGUUAAGACUUGAACUCAGGCCCGGUCAACCUAGACAACUCUGCUCCUUCAACCACCAGGUAAUAACUUUGUCCUCAAGUGGUGAUGGGAAGAGGAGCUGUUGUUAAUGGGUAUUAAUUAUUAAUUAGCCUAACUUGAAAGCUCUUGACCAACAAAACACAAAAUAUACAACUUCUACACGGUCAGAUGUUUCCUUCCAUCAAGGAAAUGGCACUUCAAAAGAACGGAAAUAACACAGGACAGGGUUUGAUGAUGAAACAAAAUCAUUUGUUCAGACCAAAGAAGUCCGACUUGAUCCAAACCUCAAAAGAUCUCUUCCAGCACCAACUUCUAACCAAGGCUGAUAAGGAAUUCUGCCUGUAAGACAAGAAAACUGAGGGUCAUGAAGAGACAACUUCCUCAUGGAUACACACCUACUAAGCAGCAGCGCCUGCAUGGAAAGGUAUGUCUGCCUGGAGCUUCAGAAUGUAAUCUUUUUUCGAAUACAAGUUUGUGAAGAUAUAAUCAAGG